rnacentral:rRNA from 1 species
GAAGUUGACCGCCUGGGGAGUACGGCCGCAAGGUUAAAACUCAAAGGAAUUGACGGGGACCCGCACAAGCGGUGGAUGAUGUGGAUUAAUUCGAUGCAACGCGAAAAACCUUACCUACCCUUGACAUGUCCAGAAGCCCGGAGAGAUUUGGGAGUGCCCGAAAGGCAACUGGAACACAGGUGCUGCAUGGCUGUCGUCAGCUCGUGUCGUGAGAUGUUGCGUUAAGUCCCGCAGCGAGCGCAACCCUUGUCGUUAAUUGCCAUCAUUUCGUUGGGCACUUCACCGAGACCCCCGCUGACAACGCGGCGGAAGGUCGGGAUGCCGUCAAGUCCUCAUGGCCCGUAAGGGUAGCAGCUUCACCGUCACACAAUGGUCGGUACAGACGGUCACAAGCCGCGCGGGGAGCCAAUCCCAGAAAGCCGAUCGUAGUCCUGGAUGGCAGGGUGCACCUCGCCCGCAUGAACUCGGAAUCCAUAGUAAUCCCGGAUCAGCACGUCGCGGUGAAUGCGUUCGCGGGUCU